rnacentral:rRNA from 1 species
GACGAACGCUGGCGGCGUGCUUAACACAUGCAAGCCGAACGGAAAGGCCUGCUUUCCCUUGUGGAUUGCGGGUACUCGAGUGGCGAACGGGUGAGUAACACGUGAGUGAUCUGCCCCCAACUUGGGUAUAAGCCUGGGAAACUGGGUCUAAUUCCCGAUAGGACUGCAGGGUGGUGCCUGUGGUGGAACACGAUUUUCUAGUGGUUGGGGAUGAGCUCGCGGCCUAUCAGCUUGUUGGUGGGGUAAUGGCCUACCAAGGCGGCGACGGGUAGCCGGCCUGAGAGAGUGGACGGCCACAUUGGGACUGAGAUACGGCCCAGACUCCUACGGGAGGCAGCAGUGGGGAAUAUUGCACAAUGGGCGGAAGCCUGAUGCAGCGACGCCGCGUGGGGGAUGACGGCCUUCGGGUUGUAAACUCCUUUCGACCGCGAGGAAGCCACCUGGUUGGAAGGGUGGUGACGGUAGUGGUAGAAGAAGCACCGGCUAACUACGUG